rnacentral:misc_RNA from 1 species
UAACACAAUAGAUUUUUAUUCAAUACCCCUUGCCAAUUUAAGCAUAAACAGUUCCACAACCAUACACAUCUGGGAAAAACUAAUAUUACUCAUAUCCUUUUUCAGAAAACUAUAAUUACAUUAAAGCAUCAUCAGUUUCAGCUUCAUCACCAAUGUAAAUGUAUAUACGUAUAUAAACUUAUGAACCCCUAAACAGAACUUAUUGACAACUUAGUAGUAACGAAUGAGCCAUGUAAAUGCUUGUCACACUAGAGUUGUGUGUUAUGCUUGCUCUGCCCUGCUCAUGUGGCACAUCAUAUAUAUACUCUAAUCAUAUAAUCCAUCCACAUACGCCACGCCAGUAGACCUCAACCAUGAUCCGCCCUGAAUCAGCUUAGCCACAGUGAACGGCAUAGCUUUAGCGGGAUCAGUAAUGACAUGAUAACCAGGCCACUUGACACGCUUACUAGUACCAGCACCAGGUCCAUUGUUCAUAAAUUCACCAUAAUACAAUGUCUUCAACGCAAAAUCUCCGUCCCACUCAGCCCAACCCGCUGGAUUAAUGAGACCACCUAAGUAUGAUUCCAUCACUACAGUUCUUGAAUAUUUUUUCCAUGGCCUACCAAGAUAUGUUGGGAAUUCUUUCAGGACUGGUUCUAGGUCCGAACUUGCUAUUAUGUUACAGAACUGAAUUGAUGUCCCCGUGGCCUGAUUUGGGUCCGUCCUGCCUUGUGCAGUCACCAUGUUUUGCUGGUAUUUACCCGGUUUUCUAGCUACGAGCUGGCAUUUCUGGAAUACAACUGCUGCAUUACCAAAUAUGAAAUCAACAGUACCUGUCACGUAGGAGUCUCGAUAGAAUUGCCUUUGAGAAUGUGCAUAAAGGGUGUCUUGAUAAGCAUCGAUACGACAACGAUUUAUGACAGACAUAUCAGCUCCAACUCGAAGUGCCACUGCUUGGUCUUUCGCUGGCCCUGCUGUGUUCUGUAUACAUAUGUCCUGUAGUAUAAAUCCUUGGCCGACUGCAGCAAGAGUGGCAGAGCGGAAGGUUGUUGAUCCAUCGACAACAUUAAGGCUACCAGUAAUGGUCGUAGCAUACAUUCCAUCACCAACAAUCAUCAAGUUCAUUUUAUUGCUAGCCACCUCAACAUUCUCUUUAUAAGUUCCCCUCUUUACAUAAAUUACAUAACGCGUCUUACUCUUAUCUGGUGCUGCAGCAACUGCUUCAGCAAGUGUUUGAUAAUCCCCCGUUCCAUCUUGUGCCACCACUGCAUUCGCUAUAAUGUCCUUACCCGAACUCUCCAUCAGCUUCCUAUCCAUCGAACUCACCCAAGAUGGCAUUUUUCCUAAAACCGUCAUGAAAACAUCCUCAUCCUGAGUUGUCAAAGACGCAAGCAUCGCUAAUGCUACCUUAGCUCUCGAGAUCAACUCUUCAAGAUUCGUUCCAUUUAUCAUAGCUUUAGUAAAGGAAUCAAGCUCAUCCAAGCACGUAACGUGGUUAGUAAGCACACCACUUAGCCAACUUUGCGCAUUGGCAUGCUCCGAACGACUUCUCUUAUCAAUUGCUGCAAUUGAAUCACAUACUAAAUCAACUGACAGAUCAAGAAGCUCAAGACAAUCAGUUAAAGCCCCUUGUUCACGAAUGUCAUUGAUCUGAUUCUUCAUUUUGCGAACCACUGGAAUUGCAUUGUUCAUUUGAUGAACAGAGUAAACUAAAAAUUUCUUCAGAAUACUUAGUCCAUCUGAAUCAGAUGUGACAAUUUCAUUGGAUAUUAAAUCAGAAACAUAACUGAGACAGAGUUGGGAAUCUUGUGCAGUUUUACACAGAUUAGAAUGUUUAAUCUCAAAUUGAUAUGGAGCAACAAGAAACACAACUAAGAAGAGAGCAACAAACAAAGUUAUAACAAAACUGAGGAUCUUGAAGCUGAUUAUUGGAUUUUGUUUGUGUGUUUUUAUUAACAAAGGUUGUUGAGGAUUAGCCAUUUUAGAAGUUUGCAAACUAUGUGUGUUGAGUGUUUUGAUACACUUUCACUUACUAUAAUACUUUGUUUAUAUAAUAUGAGGCAUGACGUAUUUUAUGCGGUCAAACUUUAACCUAGAUAA